ensembl:lncRNA novel transcript, antisense to TRAF4
CCUGCACAGGACGCUUCCUUUGAAGAGGCAGCCAAUCAGCCUGCUCAAUCCCAGGCUGUCCCUGGGGCUCUGCUUCCUUUCCCCUGGUGGAGGGAUACUGGCCCUCAGCCACAGGUCUGGCUUGCCACCGGAAGGGGAGGGAACACUUCUUGCGGGCACAGAGCAGCUCUGUGCACCCCUACAGGCUGGGCAUUGUGCAUGCCCUCCAGGGCAAACAGGGGCCUCGUUUGCAAACUGGCCUGGUGGGAGGGAACAGGCUACCUUUGUGGAGGCGCACCAUCCCAAGGCUUUUGGUUGACACUGGCCCUGAGCCCACUGGCUGCCAGCAGCUCCGGCCUCCAAGGGCAACAGACUGUGCUUGGGCUUCUUCCUGGCAGUGUGGACUCACCUUGGCAUAGUCCAGAGGAAGCUGGUCCUCAGGGCACUUGAAGACUCCUUCACUGAAAUGGGGGAGGGGCAGGAAAAAGGUUUCUCAUUAGGGGAAAGGGAGUGGGAGAGGAAGAGGGGAUUUCCGGGAGGGG